UACGUAGGUGGCGAGCGUUGUCCGGAUUUAUUGGGCGUAAAGAGCUCGUAGGCGGCUUGUUGCGUCGACUGUGAAAACCCGCGGCUUAACUGCGGGCUUGCAGUUGAUACGGGCAGGCUAGAGUUCGGUAGGGGAGACUGGAAUUCCUGGUGUAGCGGUGAAAUGCGCAGAUAUCAGGAGGAACACCGGUGGCGAAGGCGGGUCUCUGGGCCGAUACUGACGCUGAGGAGCGAAAGCGUGGGGAGCGAACAGG
rnacentral:rRNA from 1 species